UCUAGGACUUUAUAUUUUAAGGUCGCUGAUUGCUCCAAAGCCAUUCCUGAACCUGAGUUAUUCCUUAAGUAAUCCUGUUCAGCCAGGAUGUGGGCACUGAUAAAUCCUGGACAUUGUUGUCUCUCACAGCCCUGUACCCAAAUCUAAAUCUGAUAUUGGGUGCAUCAACAAUCCUUAAAAAUUAGUAACUGUUUUAACCCAAGAAUGCUAAUUGUUAUCAUCAAAAUUUGUUUUGCAUUCCACAUGCAAGUUAAAUGUUUGUACUGAACUGACUUUCUUCCUCAUUGCAGAGGGGACCUGCAGGCUUCUGUGAAGAGUAUCCGGAAUAACAGACCUUGGGUUACAAAAUUAUGAAAGAGAGAUGCAGUCGUCAAGAUCUGACCAAUUAAGUGUGGACUGGUAUUUCCCUAACAUUACGAGGGCAGAUGCUGAAACUCUGCUGAAGAAAGGCUCCCCGGAGGACGGCUUUUUCCUGGUGCGGGACAGCACCUCGGCACACGGAGACUUUGGCCUCUCGGUGUUCGUAGGCGGUGACGUCAUACACUAUCAAA